rnacentral:rRNA from 1 species
AGCCUGAUGCAGCCAUGCCGCGUGUAUGAAGAAGGCCUUCGGGUUGUAAAGUACUUUCAGCAGUGAGGAAGGUGGAUGUGUUAAUAGCGCCUUCAUUUGACGUUAGCUGCAGAAGAAGCACCGGCUAACUCCGUGCCAGCAGCCGCGGUAAUACGGAGGGUGCGAGCGUUAAUCGGAAUUACUGGGCGUAAAGCGCAUGCAGGUGGUUUGUUAAGUCAGAUGUGAAAGCCCGGGGCUCAACCUCGGAAUUGCAUUUGAAACUGGCAGACUAGAGUACUGUAGAGGGGGGUAGAAUUUCAGGUGUAGCGGUGAAAUGCGUAGAGAUCUGAAGGAAUACCGGUGGCGAAGGCGGCCCCCUGGACAGAUACUGACACUCAGAUGCGAAAGCGUGGGGAGCAAACAGGAUUAGAUACCCUGGUAGUCCACGCCGUAAACGAUGUCUACUUGGAGGUUGUGGCCUUGAGCCGUGGCUUUCGGAGCUAACGCGUUAAGUAGACCGCCUGGG